CCAUAUCACAUACGAUCAACGAUGUUAAGCAACGUCGAGCAUGGUCAGUACUUAGAUGGGUGACCGCUUGAGAAUACCAAUUGCUGAAG